rnacentral:rRNA from 1 species
UAGGGAAUCUUCGGCAAUGGACGGAAGUCUGACCGAGCAACGCCGCGUGAGUGAAGAAGGUUUUCGGAUCGUAAAGCUCUGUUGUUAGAGAAGAACGUUGGUAGGAGUGGAAAAUCUACCAAGUGACGGUAACUAACCAGAAAGGGACGGCUAACUACGUGCCAGCAGCCGCGGUAAUACGUAGGUCCCGAGCGUUGUCCGGAUUUAUUGGGCGUAAAGCGAGCGCAGGCGGUUCUUUAAGUCUGAAGUUAAAGGCAGUGGCUUAACCAUUGUACGCUUUGGAAACUGGAGGACUUGAGUGCAGAAAGGGAGAGUGGAAUUCCAUGUGUAGCGGUGAAAUGCGUAGAUAUAUGGAGGAACACCGGUGGCGAAAGCGGCUCUCUGGUCUGUAACUGACGCUGAGGCUCGAAAGCGUGGGAAGCAAACAGG